rnacentral:rRNA from 1 species
GGACGAACGCUGGCGGCGUGCCUAAUACAUGCAAGUCGAACGGCUUUUCUAUGGAAGCUUGCUUCCACCGAGAAGAUAGUGGCGAACGGGUGAGUAACACGUGGGUAACCUGCCCAUAAGAGGGGGGAUAACAUCCGGAAACGGGUGCUAAUACCGCAUAGUUUUCUUGGUCGCAUGAUCGGGAAAGGAAAGACGGCCUUUGUGCUGUCGCUUAUGGAUGGACCCGCGGCGUAUUAGUUAGUUGGUGAGGUAACGGCUCACCAAGACGAUGAUACGUAGCCGACCUGAGAGGGUGAUCGGCCACAUUGGGACUGAGACACGGCCCAAACUCCUACGGGAGGCAGCAGUAGGGAAUCUUCCGCAAUGGACGAAAGUCUGACGGAGCAACGCCGCGUGAGUGAAAGAAGGUUUUCGGAUCGUAAAACUCUGUUGUCAGAGAAGAACAAGUUGGAGAGUAACUGCUCCAGCCUUGACGGUAUCUGACCAGAAAGCCACGGCUAACUACGUGCCAGCCGCGGC